GAGACUGUUUCUCAGAGUUAGGCAGUGACCAGAGUUCCUUGGGGGGUGGAUGAUUUUGCCAACUGUACUGACUCAUUUUUAUUUUAAACUGAACAUACCUGCCCAGGGCCCCGUGAGGGGGAGGCCUCUUUAUUUUUCAAGAGGGUCUUGCAUAGCAAGAGCUUGGCUCCACUUAGGCCGUGUCCAGUUGCAUGAAUGAGGCCUGGGGAAUCGGACUCUUCAUAAUGCACCCUGGAUUAGUCAUUCUGGGAGCAGUGUCAGCUCUGCUUAAAGUUGCAAUUCUCCAAGACUGAUGGGAAGAAACUGCGUGAACUCUCUCUGGGACAGAGCUAGGAAGGAAAUCGAAGCCCUGUAAGAUGAGCUCAUUCAUUCGCUCAGGACCAGAAGCGCAUCCCACUUCUGCACCAGCGGGGAGGCAGAGAUCACGCACCCUGGAAGCAGGAGCCUCCGGGGAGUCAAAACUCCCCCCAUCAGUGACCAAACAAAUCUAGAAAAAAGGAAACCGAGGCUCAGAUAUACUUUGGAAGGAUUUGCCGAAGGCUCCCAGUCAACAGCUCAGCGCUGUGGUCCAGCCUCACUGUCCUCCCCUACUCGGCCACCUGCCUGUGCCCAUCACACGGACCAGAGAGCUGGCACAGGACAGAUGAGAUAACCUUUGCCUGACAUUAUAGCAGGAACAGAAUAUUAACAAGGACCUUCGCACCUGAGAGGAUUUGGAAAGCUCUCGACCAGGGUCACUGACUGGGGGGAUAAAGGAUGAUGGGAGGUACACUGUGGGAGGUAAGGGGUACUCAGGUCUGUUUCUUAUCUGAAAUUUGCCUUCCGCCAGUCCUUCCAGACAGAUGAAUGUCCCCUCGCUAAGGGACUAGCAGAACAAGUAAGUACCUCUUUUCUGGGAAGGGCGACCCCAUCAAACCACUGUUGGCUCCUAAGACCAGAUCUUGGGGUAAUUCGUCAGCAUGCAGCUCAUUCAAAUGAACACAGGGCUGUUGCAUUUGGGGCUGAAGGGUUGCAGAAUCUAAAGUCUGGGCUGCAGGUGCUGUUGUAGCUCCGGUCCAUAGACAGAAAGCCCAAGGGGAGGCGAAGGACUCAGAGAUACCGGUCUUCCUGUCUGGCUCGGGCAAGAGUUGACUGUUCUCUCUGGA